rnacentral:rRNA from 1 species
UCAGGACGAACGCUGGCGGCGUGCUUAACACAUGCAAGUCGAACGGAAAGGCCCAGCUUGCUGGGUGCUCGAGUGGCGAACGGGUGAGUAACACGUGGGUGAUCUGCCCCUGACUUUGGGAUAAGCCUGGGAAACUGGGUCUAAUACCGGAUAUGACCUUCUCUCGCAUGCGAGUUGGUGGAAAGCCUUGUGCGGUUGGGGAUGGGCCCGCGGCCUAUCAGCUUGUUGGUGGGGUAAUGGCCUACCAAGGCGACGACGGGUAGCCGACCUGAGAGGGUGAUCGGCCACACUGGGACUGAGACACGGCCCAGACUCCUACGGGAGGCAGCAGUGGGGAAUAUUGCACAAUGGGCGCAAGCCUGAUGCAGCGACGCCGCGUGAGGGAUGACGGCCUUCGGGUUGUAAACCUCUUUCACCAGGGACGAAGCGCAAGUGACGGUACCUGGAGAAGAAGCACCGGCCAACUACGUGCCAGCAGCCGCGGUAAUACGUAGGGUGCGAGCGUUGUCCGGAAUUACUGGGCGUAAAGAGCUCGUAGGCGGUUUGUCGCGUCGUCUGUGAAAUUCUGCAGCUUAACUGCAGGCGUGCAGGCGAUACGGGCAGACUUGAGUACUACAGGGGAGACUGGAAUUCCUGGUGUAGCGGUGAAAUGCGCAGAUAUCAGGAGGAACACCGGUGGCGAAGGCGGGUCUCUGGGUAGUAACUGACGCUGA